rnacentral:rRNA from 1 species
UACGGAGGGAGCUAGCGUUGUUCGGAAUUACUGGGCGUAAAGCGCGCGUAGGCGGCCUGCUAAGUCGCACGUGAAAUCCCCGGGCUCAACCCGGGAACUGCGUCCGAUACUGGCAGGCUUGAAUCCGGGAGAGGGAUGCGGAAUUCCAGGUGUAGCGGUGAAAUGCGUAGAUAUCUGGAGGAACACCGGUGGCGAAGGCGGCAUCCUGGACCGGUAUUGACGCUGAGGCGCGAAAGCCAGGGGAGCAAACGGG